GAUGAACGCUGGCGGCGUGCCUAAUACAUGCCAGUCGAGCGAACAGACGAGGAGCUUGCUCCUCUGACGUUAGCGGCGGACGGGUGAGUAACACGUGGAUAACCUACCUAUAAGACUGGGAUAACUUCGGGAAACCGGAGCUAAUACCGGAUAAUAUAUUGAACCGCAUGGUUCAAUAGUGAAAGACGGUUUUGCUGUCACUUAUAGAUGGAUCCGCGCCGCAUUAGCUAGUUGGUAAGGUAACGGCUUACCAAGGCAACGAUGCGUAGCCGACCUGAGAGGGUGAUCGGCCACACGUGAACUGAGACACGGUCCAGACUCCUACGGGAGGCAGCAGUAGGGAAUCUUCCGCAAUGGGCGAAAGCCUGACGGAGCAACGCCGCGUGAGUGAUGAAGGUCUUCGGAUCGUAAAACUCUGUUAUUAGGGAAGAACAAAUGUGUAAGUAACUAUGCACGUCUUGACGGUACCUAAUCAGAAAGCCACGGCUAACUACGUG
rnacentral:rRNA from 1 species